AUUGAACGCUGGCGGCAGGCCUAACACAUGCAAGUCGAGCGGAUGAAGGGAGCUUGCUCCUGGAUUCAGCGGCGGACGGGUGAGUAAUGCCUAGGAAUCUGCCUGGUAGUGGGGGAUAACGUCCGGAAACGGGCGCUAAUACCGCAUACGUCCUGAGGGAGAAAGUGGGGGAUCUUCGGACCUCACGCUAUCAGAUGAGCCUAGGUCGGAUUAGCUAGUUGGUUGGGUAACGGCCUACCAAGGCGACGAUCCGUAACUGGUCUGAGAGGAUGAUCAGUCACACGGGAACUGAGACACGGUCCAGACUCCUACGGGAGGCAGCAGUGGGGAAUAUUGGACAAUGGGCGAAAGCCUGAUCCAGCCAUGCCGCGUGUGUGAAGAAGGUCUUCGGAUUGGAAAGCACUUUAAGUUGGGAGGAAGGGCAGUAAGUUAAUACCUUGCUGUUUUGACGGUACCAACAGAAUAAGCACCGGCUAACUUCGUG
rnacentral:rRNA from 1 species